rnacentral:rRNA from 1 species
UACGUAGGGUGCAAGCGUUGUCCGGAAUUAUUGGGCGUAAAGAGCUCGUAGGCGGUUUGUCGCGUCUGCUGUGAAAACCCGAGGCUCAACCUCGGGCCUGCAGUGGGUACGGGCAGACUAGAGUGCGGUAGGGGAGACUGGAAUUCCUGGUGUAGCGGUGAAAUGCGCAGAUAUCAGGAGGAACACCGAUGGCGAAGGCAGGUCUCUGGGCAUUAACUGACGCUGAGGAGCGAAAGCAUGGGGAGCGAACAGG